CUAAUCUUCUUCAUUAUUUUAUGAAAUCUUACAGUGCUCCUUGUGCCACAAAGAGAUACAAUCAAAGGUUAAAUGGAUUCUAAUUUACUUUCUAGGAUAAAGUGAUCUCUGUCAGCAACCGUUAGCAAGGACAAGAACUUACCACGGAUUCUGAUACCGUCGACCAUCAGGCCUCAGCAGAACUGUAAAUUAGACUGGAAUGGCAGAAUGAAGCCUAAGUGGAGCUGCCCACUCAGAGAGGCCACCAGUCUGGGGUCUGUCCUUCCAGCUAAGAGAAUUCACUUGUAAACUCUUCAAGGUGGCUACCACAUUUUUCCAGUGGCCUGUAACUUCUUCGAGGCCAGUACCACAUUUUCCUUGUGGCUUGUAACUUCCCAGUGACUCCAGCCCUGAGCCAGUGAGCCAUUACCUACUCCAGAACAGCACACUAGAUGUUUUGCUGAAUCACUGAAAAUAAGACUCAGAAGAAGCCUCCAGAUCAUUUAACCCAAUCCCCUGCACCAGUGCUAAAGUAUUUAAAUGAUAUAAAUGAGAUGCUCCAAGGGACUGCCUAUUAAUCCUGAAAUUUGGAAAAAUGCAAAAUGGUUCUUUUGGUACAAAAUGGGUUUUAUUCGCAUGUUGAUUGACCCUUGUGGUGAAACUAAAAAUGAAGCAACCCAAAUCACUAACUUUAAAAGUGCAUCUUUUAGCUGCUAAAAGCCAGUUUACUUCCUUUAUCAAUCUUUUGCCUCUCCUUUGUCUUCUACCUCAUUUUUAAAGCCUUUUUCUCCAUGUAGUUUCCUAGCAGGUAUGUUUUUGUAAAGAUGGCAAUCCUGAUCAGCGGAAACCUCUACCUGUUUUUGAGAUCAUUUCUGGUGAUUGGUGCUGAGGGAGAAGAUUCUGGGAAGUACUUGUCACUUGCUGGGAAUGAAAUUGAUUAGGAUCACACACAGCAGGGCCAACAGUUAAGUGUUCCCUUGCCAGGGCUGAGUACCCACUGACUCUCAUCCAGAGGUCCUGCGCCGAAAGUAGGGAGGAGAGAGAAAUGGACAGAAAAAAGUACAGACUAAAAGAGUCCCACGGAGAAAAGCCACUGUGCCUACCCGAACCCAGGGUCAUUUUUCUCACCCCACGCUCUAUGUAGAUCGCUUAGGUUUGCAGAGUCAGGAGCAAAAUCUUGGAGACAGAUGCUUUGUAACAACUGUGAGUGGGAAGGGUUCCAUUUAUGAUUGGUUUUGGACA